rnacentral:rRNA from 1 species
CUCUGUUUUGGUCUCUGUCUUUAAGUUAUCCCACGGUGAUCUUGUCUAAUGUCAGAAGACAAGCAGAGUUCGUCUUGGUUAAUAAUUGGAUGGGAGACCACGAGGAAAGGCAGACAGAGCAGGGG